rnacentral:rRNA from 1 species
CACGUAGGGGCCAAGCGUUGUCCGGAUUUAUUGGGCGUAAAGAGCUCGUAGGCGGUUUGUCGCGUCGGCCGUGAAAACUUGGGGCUUAACCCCAAGCCUGCGGUCGAUACGGGCAGACUUGAGUUCGGCAGGGGAGACUGGAAUUCCUGGUGUAGCGGUGAAAUGCGCAGAUAUCAGGAGGAACACCGGUGGCGAAGGCGGGUCUCUGGGCCGAUACUGACGCUGAGGAGCGAAAGCGUGGGGAGCGAACAGG